UAAACAGCAAGCAAAGAAUGACAAUGACUAUAUUCUCAAAUAUGAUGUUGCAGAAUAAUAUCAUCAUGAAAGUUACCUCUAAAUGCUUUUUUAUGCACAAGAGUUAGAAAACUUGUGAUUGUGAGUUUUCAUUUGUGAAAAUACCUCUGUAAAAUUUCUUUGAUGAAGUUCUACUUAAAAAAAAAUCAAUUGGUGAAAUUCACUAGAAAAUCUAAUAAUGUAAUGAAUACAGAACAAAAGAGUGUCUCAUGAAAGGGUAAGGAAAAAAUCUUAGUUGUCAACCAUCCUUUAACUUGUGUAAAGUUGUAUAUGCACUGAAUUUCUUUUUCUGGUGGUAAUAUAUAUUUUCUAUUUAAGGGUAAUGAACAAAUCUUAAUCAUUAAACUCAUACUUUAACUUGUGUAAUGUUGUGUAUGCACUGCAUUUCUUUUUCUGUAGGUAACAUUUUUUUUUUAUUCAUGAAAUUUCUUUUCCAGCUUUACCAACACACCUUAGGUACACAACAUGGAAUUUUAUUAAUUUAUUUUAAUCAAGGUGUGGUUAUGUAAAUUUGGAGAUAAGAAAUGGCAUUCCAGGAAUUAUAUAAUUAAACAAUUGGCAGAUUUGCCUAGCUAUCAGUGUUAAUGUUAAAUACAGACACUGCAUAACUAUUGAAAACCUGACCACACAUAGUACCAGACCCUAUAUAUGUGAUACUUUUCUUCCUAUGCAUACAUACCAAUGAUAAAAAUUUAAUUUAUAAGUUAGGCACAGUAAGAGAUUAACAACAAUAACCAAUAAUGAAAUAGAGCAAUUAUGACAAUAUUUCAGCAUUACUGCUCUUGUUUUAUUGGGCCAUUAUGAAGUAAAAUAAGAGUGACUUGAACAUAAGCACUGAGAUACCUCUGCCAUCCAUCUGAUCAUCUGAAAGGCUACUAUGAGACUAACGGGCAGGUGCUGGGGGCUAUUUCAGUUCUACUCUUCCUUUUGGGAAACUACCUUUAAGAACUCCAUGCAUUCACUUAGUAUUACUCCUUUUUAUUUGCUUAUUCCUAGUACAAGAACUACAUUUUAUCAAUCCUCAAGUUUUCCAUUGUAUUUUCAUGUAAUAAAAAAUUACUGAUUGAA